rnacentral:rRNA from 1 species
GCGAAUGGCUCAUUAAAUCAGCUAUGGUUUACAGGACCGUACUUGUUAAAUGGAUAACUGUAAUAACUCUAGAGCUAAUACAUGCAACUAUGCCCUGACCCGCAAGGGGAUGGGUGCACUUAUUAGAUCAGAAGCCAACCGGGCAUCGGUCGCAAGGCUGGUGUCUGUUGUUUUUCUGGUGACUCUGGAUAAUUGUUACAGAUCGCAGUCGGCCAUGAGUCGGCGACGGGUCCUUCAAAUGUCUGCCCUAUCAACUUUCGAUGGUAGGUGACCUGCCUACCAUGGUGAUAACGGGUAACGGGGAAUCAGGGUUCGAUUCCGGAGAGGGAGCCUGAGAAACGGCUACCACUUCCAAGGGAGGCAGCAGGCGCGCAAAUUACCCACUUCCAGUACGGGGAGGUGGUGACGAAAAAUACCGAUGCGGGCCUCCGAAAUGAGGCUCCGUAAUCGGAAUGAGUGAACUAUAAAUCCUUUCACAAGGAUCAAUUGGAGGGCAAGUCUGGUGCCAGCAGCCGCGGUAACUCCAGCUCCAAUAGCGUAUAUUAAAGUUGCUGCAGUUAAAAAGCUCGUAGUUGGAUCUCGGUAUCACUGCUGUCUUUCAAUCAUUGGGGCGUCGGCCUAUCGGUGCAUGGGUCUUCCCUGUAUCAUAGUGUUGAUUGCUUCGGGUUGGCGAGGCAGCGGUGUCACCUUUCAGCCAUGUCUGUGUGGAUAAUCCCGCAGGUGCGGGCGAGUGACAGGCGGUGCCAUGCUGCUGUAGGGUCCGUCGGCUCGUCUUCAUGCCUUUGGAUGCCCUUCAAAAGGUGUCUGUUGGCGGAUGGCACGUUUACUUUGAACAAAUUUGAGUGCUCAAACCAGGCCGCUGUUGCCUGAAAAGUUUUGCAUGGAAUAAUGGAAUAGGACUUCGGUUCUAUUUCGUUGGUUUUCGGAUCCGAAGUAAUGAUCAAAAGAGACAAGCGGGGACGUUUGUAUGGCUGCGCUAGAGGUGAAAUUCUUGGACCGUAGCCAGACAGACUAAAGCGAAAGCAUUCGUCAAGCAUGUUUUCAUUGACCAUGAGCGAAAGUCAGAGGCUCGAAGACGAUCAGAUACCGUCCUAGUUCUGACCAUAAACGAUACCAACUGACGAUCCGUGGUGGUAGAAUUUAAACCUUCCUCACGGGCAGUCCCCGGGAAACCAUUAAGUCUAUGGGUUCCGGGGGAAGUAUGGUUGCAAAGCUGAAACUUAAAGGAAUUGACGGAAGGGCACCACCAGGAGUGGAGCCUGCGGCUUAAUUUGACUCAACACGGGAAAACUCACCCGGCCCGGACACUAUGAGGAUUGACAGAUUGAAAGCUCUUUCUUGAUUUGGUGAUUGGUGGUGCAUGGCCGUUCUUAGUUGGUGGAGCGAUUUGUCUGGUUAAUUCCGAUAACGAACGAGACUCCAGCCUGCUAAUUAGUUCUCCUGUCCACUGUAUCUGUGCAGGUGAGCGAUUGCCGAUUCUGCUCUUUACGGUUAUCACAGUUGGCGCUCGUUUGGUGAGAUGAUCAGGAUCGCAAGAUUCAGUAAUUCAAGCCUGCUGGUGCUGAUUGUGGUUGCUUGAGUGGGAGGUGCAGCGUUUAGCUUCCGGGUACGGCGCAGUGUCUACUUCUUAGAGGGACAAGCGGGAGAAACCGCACGAAAUUGAGCAAUAACAGGUCUGUGAUGCCCUUAGAUGUCCGGGGCCGCACGCGCGCUACAAUGGCGGUGGCAACGAGUCUGACCUUCUGGCCCGAAAGGGUUGGGCAAACUGGUCAAUCACCGUCAUGACAGGGAUCGGGGCUUGGAAUUGUUCCCCGUGAACGAGGAAUUCCUAGUAAGUGCAAGUCAUAAGCUUGCGCUGAUUACGUCCCUGCCCUUUGUACACACCGCCCGUCGCUACUACCGAUUGAAUGGUUUAGUAAGGUCCUUGGAUUGGCACGAUUGCAGCCGCAAGGCUCAGACGGUGCUGAGAAGACGACCGAACUUGAUCAUUUAGAGGAAGUAAAAGUCGUAACAAG